GGAAGGGUAACUCAUCGGUAGAGUGUCUUGCUGAAAACGAGAUGGCAACAGGUUCGAUUCCUGUCCUUUCCA
rnacentral:tRNA from 1 species